rnacentral:misc_RNA from 1 species
GAUGAAGAACGUAGCGAAAUUGCGAUACGUAGUGUGAAUUGCAGAAUUCAGUGAAUCAUCGAAUCUUUGAACGCACAUUGCACCUCUCGGUAUUCCGGGAGGUAUGCCUGUUCGAGCGUCAUUUGUACCCUCAAGCUCUGCUUGGUGUUGGGUGUUUGUUCCGCCUCUGUGUGUGAACUCGCCUCAAAACAAUUGGCAGCCGGCGUACUUGUUUCGGAGCGCAGCACAUUUUGCGAUCCAGAUCAACGUACAGCGGCAUCCAAGAAGCCUUAUUUAACGCUCUUGACCUCGGAUCAGGUAGGGAUACCCGCUGAACUUAAGCAUAUCAAUAAGCGGAGGA